GACGAACGCUGGCGGCGUGCCUAAUACAUGCAAGUAGAACGCUGAAGAGAGGAGCUUGCUCUUCUUGGAUGAGUUGCGAACGGGUGAGUAACGCGUAGGUAACCUGCCUUGUAGCGGGGGAUAACUAUUGGAAACGACAGCUAAUACCGCAUAACAAUGGAUGACACAUGUCAUUUAUUUGAAAGGGGCAAUUGCUCCACUACAAGAUGGACCUGCGUUGUAUUAGCUAGUAGGUGAGGUAAUGGCUCACCUAGGCGACGAUACAUAGCCGACCUGAGAGGGUGAUCGGCCACACUGGGACUGAGACACGGCCCAGACUCCUACGGGAGGCAGCAGUAGGGAAUCUUCGGCAAUGGGGGCAACCCUGACCGAGCAACGCCGCGUGAGUGAAGAAGGUUUUCGGAUCGUAAAGCUCUGUUGUAAGUCAAGAACGGGUGUGAGAGUGGAAAGUUCACACUGUGACGGUAGCUUACCAGAAAGAGACGGCUAACUACGUG
rnacentral:rRNA from 1 species